rnacentral:lncRNA from 1 species
ACUCCCAGAUGAGAACACAGGCAGGCUGACUCUUGAGUCCAGCCUUGUGGAACCCAGAGAAGAGGGCCCAGGUAAGCCAUGGCUAGACUCCUGACUGACAGAAAUUGUGACAUCACACAUGUGUUAUUUUAAGCUACUAAGUUGGUGGUAAUUUGUUGUGCAACAAUAGAAUACUCAUAUAGCUUAGCUGAAUCAUGAUUAACCACUGGAAGAAGAAGGAAGCCAAAGUAUCUGAUGCACUGGAGAAUGAAAACCCGUUCAAAAUCAGAAGUAUAGAGAAGUUUUCUGUAAAAUGGAAAUGAGUAUCAUGAAGUUUUAAAUGAACAGUGUAAAACAGAAGACAUCAGCAUUCAUUAGGUCCCAGACCUCUUUGAGAAUCUGAUGAAAUUCUGGACAACCUCUCCUCCCACAAACAAGAUGUACUAGAAUACCUACACAUAAAAUGUUGCAUUCAAUUUUGGAAUGUGAAGAGAUCAUUUGAAGCCGAUCCAGAGGCCUCUAAGGUAGGACUUGACUGGUGCAGUAUUGGUGGCUGCUGGGUCAGAUGAGCUCCCUGCUAUUCCAAGAAACAAUACAUGUUUGCAGCCACUAAGAUUUGAGGACUUUUGUUAUUACUGCCUAUCCUGACAGACUCAGGUGCUACAACUAUUUAAGGGCUGACCGGAUCUCACUCUGGCACCUAGACUGGAGGGUACUGGCAUGAACUCCUGGGCUCAGAUGUCCUCCCACCUCCACCUUCUGAGUAGCCGGAAUUACAGGAAUGAACCAUCAUGCUCAGAUUUCAAGCUCCCUGAAGAUGAAGGCUGAAUCCUACACCUCGCUUGUAUCCUCCAUGGCUCAUUGAACAAGUGCUAGCUAGCUACAUGGAGACUGCUCAAUAAAUAUUGAAUAACUCACGAGGGACUCAAUAAAUAACGAUUGCUUAAUUGAUUAGCUCCGUCAAUAAAUCUUGCUUUGAACAGAGGUACAGCCAUUGAAGAUACUCAAAAGGCAAUCUCGGUCACUGUGCCUCUGGAUAGGGGAAAGCUCCAUGAAUGUAAGAUCUGGUGGGAGAAGGCAAGUUAUUUAACCUCUCUAAGCCCCGGGAGCUUCAUCUGUAAAAUGGGAAAAUACUGUAGUGCUUCCGUGUCAUUGUCACUGUGACAAUGUAAUGAGGAUGAUGCACAGAAGGCAUUUAUCACACUGCCUAGUCCAUUAUAAAUUCUUAAUAAACAUUAAUUGAUAUUAGCUACUCAUAGAUCUUAAGAACUGGAUUGAAAGAAACACCAUGAGAAAACUUUCAAUCUGUAGCAAUAUUACCCAAUAGCUUCA